AUUCUACCCAUGCGGGGAAGGAUGAGAAGCUUCGACUAAGGUUCGAUUCGAGCGAAAGCGAGAAAGCGUUGCCAACGGCAACGACCCGAAGGGCGAAGCGCGCAGCGCUGAGUAAUCCUUCCCCCACCACCA
rnacentral:sRNA from 6 species